rnacentral:rRNA from 1 species
UACAGAGGUCUCAAGCGUUGUUCGGAUUCAUUGGGCGUAAAGGGUGCGUAGGCGGCUCGGAAAGUCGGGCGUGAAAUGCCGGGGCUCAACCCCGGGACUGCGUCCGAUACUUCCGAGCUGGAGGUAGGUAGGGGAGAUCGGAAUUCCUGGUGUAGCGGUGAAAUGCGCAGAUAUCAGGAGGAACACCAAUUGCGAAGGCAGCUCGCUGGGACGUUACUGACGCUGGAGACGCGAAAGCGUGGGGAGCAAACAGG